GUUGCAUUGUUGAUUUGAGCAAAACCUGUCACUGCAGCUGCGUCGCCACCACCUCUCGAACCGACUGAGGAGCUGAAACCUGCCCUCGCUUAACAGCUGACACAGACAGGAGCGCUAAUUAAAAACUUCUGAGAGAGGAAACGGGAAUGCCUGGAGAAAACCCACCCAGGAAUGGGAAGAACAUGCAACACAGGAGGCGGGGGUGCAGAGUUGGAGUAAAUUCUGAUGAAAUCUCCUUAAGUAUAGAGACAAUACCUCGAAAAUGUUAAAUCUACAAAUUUAUUAUCGAUAGAUUCAUUGCUGCCAGCAGGGAUGGCAACAACCCCCACACGUCUGCUCAUGUCUACAGUUAUAUUUAUUUACACACACAUUCUGCUGUACUUCCCAAAACACGUAAAAGCCCUUGAAAAGGAAAAUCAGAGAAGUUUCCAUUCACUUGGGGGGGGGGGGGUGUUCUUAUUUAAACAAGCAAGUUCAAAUCACAUCAGUACAUGACAGCAUAAAAGCAGGAACACACUGUGCUUUGCUGUUAAGUUCUGUCAAAAAUGCUGCCUUGAAACUCCAUGCAUGAUUAAUGUUGAAAGACCAAGGAAAAGUGCAGAUCCCGUGCUAAAUCUUUGAUACAAAAAUGCAAAGGCCAAAAGAGGAAAGACUCCAAAGUUGAUAUUUUUAUUAAUAUUCAGCCUAAAAUUUGAUUGUAUGGUCGGUGCAUGUCCCGUAUAGCUGUGCGAUUCAUUUAAGGCCACAAUUUAAGAUGGCCCUGUUACGUCUGUUUCCAUGGAAAUACAGCUGGCUCUUAAGUAAAUACGCGAGUCACUUUGUCAAGACAUUUCCCAACACUGUUGAUCAAUUUAAAGGUAAUUUUCAUUCCGUAGUGACAGCCUUUCUCCCCACCUACGAGCCAACUAGCGGUCACAAUGUCGAUCCUCGAAAUGUGGGCGGUUGUUCGUUUUAGAUUCCCGGAACGGAAGUGUGUCGGCUUGUGAAGAGAAAGAAAAACCAUUUGAAAAGCAGACGAGCAUGAAUGAACAUACAAACAGUUUGGCCUCAUUCACUACCAAAUGCGUAGAAAUGUUCUGGCUUUUCCCACAAGUUGAGCAUGUACGCAAAAUCACUGGGAGCUUCAUGACAUGUGCGCACUGGAUA